UGGGGAAUAUUGGACAAUGGGCGAAAGCCUGAUCCAGCCAUGCCGCGUGAGUGACGAAGGCCUUAGGGUUGUAAAGCACUUUCAGUGGGGAGGAGGGUUUAUGGGUUAAGAGCUAGUAGACUGGACGUUACCCACAGAAGAAGCACCGGCUAACUCCGUGCCAGCAGCCGCGGUAAUACGGAGGGUGCGAGCGUUAAUCGGAAUUACUGGGCGUAAAGCGUGCGCAGGCGGCUCCUUAAGUCAGAUGUGAAAUCCCCGGGCUUAACCUGGGAACUGCGUUUGAAACUGAGGGGCUAGAGUGUGGAAGAGGGGGGUGGAAUUCCAGGUGUAGCAGUGAAAUGCGUAGAGAUCUGGAGGAACACCGAUGGCGAAGGCAGCCCCCUGGGCUAACACUGACGCUCAUGCACGAAAGCGUGGGGAGCAAACAGGAUUAGAUACCCCUGUAGUCCCUGAGCGGGCUGGCAAGGCGCAU
rnacentral:rRNA from 1 species